rnacentral:rRNA from 1 species
CCUACGGGACGCACCAGUGGGGAAUAUUGCACAAUGGGCGCAAGCCUGAUGCAGCCAUGCCGCGUGUAUGAAGAAGGCCUUCGGGUUGUAAGGUACUUUCAGCGGGGAGGAAGGUGUUGUGGCUAAUAACCACAGCAAUUGACGUUACCCGCAGAAGAAGCACCGGCUAACUCCGUGCCAGCAGCCGCGGUAAUACGGAGGGUGCAAGCGUUAAUCGGAAUUACUGGGCGUAAAGCGCACGCAGGCGGUCUGUCAAGUCGGAUGUGAAAUCCCCGGGCUCAACCUGGGAACUGCAUUCGAAGCUGGCAGGCUAGAGUCUUGUAGAGGGGGGUAGAAUUCCAGGUGUAGCGGUGAAAUGCGUAGAGAUCUGGAGGAAUACCGGUGGCGAAGGCGGCCCCCUGGACAAAGACUGACGCUCAGGUGCGAAAGCGUGGGGAGCAAACAGGAUUAGAUACCCCAGUAGUC